GAUGAACGCUGGCGGCGCGCCUAACACAUGCAAGUCGAACGAUUAAAGCACCUUCGGGUGUGUAUAAAGUGGCGAACGGCUGAGUAACACGUGGGCAACCUGCCCCUUUCAUUGGGAUAGCCACGGGAAACCGUGGAUAAUACCGAAUACUUCGAGACUUCCGCAUGGAAGACUCGAGAAAGCUCCGGCGGAGAGGGAUGGGCCCGCGGCCUGUUAGCUUGUUGGUGGGGUAACGGCCUACCAAGGCAAUGAUGGGUAGCUGGGUUGAGAGACCGACCAGCCAGAUUGGGACUGAGACACGGCCCAGACUCCUACGGGAGGCAGCAGUGGGGAAUCUUGCACAAUGGGCGAAAGCCUGAUGCAGCGACGCCGCGUGCGGGAUGAAGGCCUUCGGGUUGUAAACCGCUUUCAGCAGGGACGAGGCGAAAGUGGCGGUACCUGCAGAAGAAGCCCCGGCUAACUACGU
rnacentral:rRNA from 1 species